rnacentral:rRNA from 1 species
UACGAAAGGGGGCUAGCGUUGCUCGGAAUUACUGGGCGUAAAGCGCACGUAGGCGGUCUUUUAAGUCGGGGGUGAAAUCCUGGAGCUCAACUCCAGAACUGCCUUCGAUACUGGAAGACUCGAGUCCGGGAGAGGUGAGUGGAACUGCGAGUGUAGAGGUGAAAUUCGUAGAUAUUCGCAAGAACACCAGUGGCGAAGGCGGCUCACUGGCCCGGUACUGACGCUGAGGUGCGAAAGCGUGGGGAGCAAACAGG